rnacentral:rRNA from 1 species
UACGGAGGGGGCCAGCGUUGUUCGGAAUUAUUGGGCGUAAAGGGCGCGUAGGCGGCAGGAUAAGUCUGACGUGAAAUCCCUCGGCCCAACCGAGGAACUGCGUUUGAAACUGUCCGGCUUGAGUCCGGGAGAGGGUAGUGGAAUUCCCAGUGUAGCGGUGAAAUGCGUAGAUAUUGGGAGGAACACCGGUGGCGAAGGCGGCUACCUGGACCGGUACUGACGCUGAGGUGCGAAAGCCAGGGGAGCAAACAGG